rnacentral:rRNA from 1 species
UACGAAGGGGGCUAGCGUUGUUCGGAAUUACUGGGCGUAAAGGGCGCGUAGGCGGUCUGUCGCGUCUGCUGUGAAAACUCGGGGGCUUAACCCCGGGCCUGCAGUGGGUACGGGCAGACUAGAGUGCGGUAGGGGAGACUGGAAUUCCUGGUGUAGCGGUGAAAUGCGCAGAUAUCAGGAGGAACACCGGUGGCGAAGGCGGGUCUCUGGGCCGUAACUGACGCUGAGGAGCGAAAGCAUGGGGAGCGAACAGG